GACGUAGGAGGCGAGCGUUGUCCGGAUUCAUUGGGCGUAAAGAGCGCGCAGGCGGCUUGGUAAGUCGGAUGUGAAAUCCCGAGGCUCAACCUCGGGUCUGCAUCCGAUACUGCCCGGCUAGAGGUAGGUAGGGGAGAUCGGAAUUCCUGGUGUAGCGGUGAAAUGCGUAGAUAUCGAGAGGAACACCGGUGGCGAAGGCGGCCUUCUGGACAGUGACUGACGCUGAGGCGCGAAGGCCAGGGGAGCAAAACGGGG
rnacentral:rRNA from 1 species